AUAAUACUCCAUAGAUUAGAGACACCGGAAGGUUCUUUAGUCGAAAGUUCGGGCGCCUAAGGAUGGAUCUGCGGUCGAAUAGGUUGUGUGGGGGUAACGGCCCAACAAGCCUGUAAUCGAUACGGGUUGUGGGAGCAAGAGCCCGGAGAUGGAAUCUGAGACACGAUUCCAGGCCCUACGGGGCGCAGCAGGCGCGAAAACUUUACAAUGCAGGAAACUGUGAUAAGGGAACUCCGAGUGCCCGUAUACGCGGGCUGUGCAGGUGUUUAAAAAUCAUCUGAAGAAAGGGCCGGGCAAGACCGGUGCCAGCCGCCGCGGUAAUACCGGCGGCUCGAGUGGUGGCCACUAUUAUUGGGCUUAAAGCGUCCGUAGCUGGACCGAUAAGUCUCUUGGGAAAUCCGCCGGCUCAACCGGCGGGCGUCUAAGGGAUACUGUUAGUCUAGGGACCGGGAGAGGUGAGAGGUACUCCGGGGGUAGGAGUGAAAUCCUGUAAUCCCCGGGGGACCACCGAUGGCGAAGGCAUCUCACCAGAACGGCUCCGACAGUGAGGGACGAAAGCUGGGGGAGCGAACCGGAUUAGAUACCCGGGUAGUCCCAGCCGUAAACUAUGCGCGUUAGGUGU
rnacentral:rRNA from 1 species